rnacentral:rRNA from 1 species
GAUACUUAGUACGGCGAGUGAAGCGGUAAAAGCUCAAAUUUGAAAUCUGGUACUUUCAGUGCCCGAGUUGUAAUUUGUAGAAUUUGUCUUUGAUUAGGUCCUUGUCUAUGUUCCUUGGAACAGGACGUCAUAGAGGGUGAGAAUCCCGUUUGGCGAGGAUACCUUUUCUCUGUAAGACUUUUUCGAAGAGUCGAGUUGUUUGGGAAUGCAGCUCAAAGUGGGUGGUAAAUUCCAUCUAAAGCUAAAUAUUGGCGAGAGACCGAUAGCGAACAAGUACAGUGAUGGAAAGAUGAAAAGAACUUUGAAAAGAGAGUGAAAAAGUACGUGAAAUUGUUGAAAGGGAAGGGCAUUUGAUCAGACAUGGUGUUUUUUGCAUGCACUCGCCUCUCGUGGGCUUGGGCCUCUCAAAAAUUUCACUGGGCCAACAUCAAUUCUGGCAGCAGGAUAAAUCAUUAAGAAUGUAGCUACUUCGGUAGUGUUAUAGCUUUUUGGAAUACUGUUAGCCGGGAUUGAGGACUGCGCUUCGGCAAGGAUGUUGGCAUAAUGGUUAAAUGCCGCCCGUCUU